rnacentral:rRNA from 1 species
UACGAGAGGCCCAAACGUUAUUCGGAAUUACUGGGCUUACAGAGUUCGUAGGCGGCUCAGAAAGUUGGGUGUGAAAUCCCUCGGCCCAACCGAGGAAUUGCGCUCAAAACUACUGAGCUUGAGGGGUAUAGAGGUAAGCGGAACUGAUGGUGGAGCGGUGAAAUGCGUUGAUAUCAUCAGGAACACCGGUGGCGAAGGCGGCUUACUGGGUACCUCCUGACGCUGAGGAACGAAAGCUAGGGGAGCGAACGGGAUUAGAUACCCCGGUAGUCCUAGCUGUAAACGAUGAGCACUGGGUCGAGGAACUGUCCAGUUUCUCGGCCGUAGCGAAAGUGUUAAGUGCUCCGCCUGGGGAGUAUGGUCGCAAGGCUGAA